GUGGGGAAUCUUGCGCAAUGGGCGAAAGCCUGACGCAGCCAUGCCGCGUGAAUGAUGAAGGUCUUAGGAUUGUAAAAUUCUUUCACCGGGGACGAUAAUGACGGUACCCGGAGAAGAAGCCCCGGCUAACUUCGUGCCAGCAGCCGCGGUAAUACGAAGGGGGCUAGCGUUGCUCGGAAUUACUGGGCGUAAAGGGCGCGUAGGCGGACAGUUUAGUCAGAGGUGAAAGCCCAGGGCUCAACCUUGGAAUUGCCUUUGAUACUGGCUGUCUUGAGUACGGGAGAGGUGAGUGGAACUCCGAGUGUAGAGGUGAAAUGCGUAGAUAUUCGGAAGAACACCAGUGGCGAAGGCGACUCACUGGCCCGUUACUGACGCUGAGGCGCGAAAGCGUGGGGAGCAAACAGGAUUAGAUACCCCAGUAGUCC
rnacentral:rRNA from 1 species